rnacentral:rRNA from 1 species
GAUGAACGCUGGCGGCGUGCCUAAUACAUGCAAGUCGAGCGAACAGACGAGGAGCUUGCUCCUCUGACGUUAGCGGCGGACGGGUGAGUAACACGUGGAUAACCUACCUAUAAGACUGGGAUAACUUCGGGAAACCGGAGCUAAUACCGGAUAAUAUAUUGAACCGCAUGGUUCAAUAGUGAAAGACGGUUUUGCUGUCACUUAUAGAUGGAUCCGCGCCGCAUUAGCUAGUUGGUAAGGUAACGGCUUACCAAGGCGACGAUGCGUAGCCGACCUGAGAGGGUGAGCGGCCACACUGGAACUGAGACACGGUCCAGACUCCUACGGGAGGCAGCAGUAGGGAAUCUUCCGCAAUGGGCGAAAGCCUGACGGAGCAACGCCGCGUGAGUGAUGAAGGUCUUCGGAUCGUAAAACUCUGUUAUUAGGGAAGAACAAAUGUGUAAGUAACUUUGCACGUCUUGACGGUACCUAAUCAGAAAGCCACGGCUAACUACGUG